UAUACCCACCAAAUUUAUUUUUAGGGUUAAUUUUAUAUAGAUCCCUACAAAUAUAAUAAAUUAUAAAUAUAUUUCUACAAAGUUCAACUUUUAUAUAUUAUUGUAAAAGUACUAAUGUUUUCAAAUAUGUCUCUCUGAUUUGUUACCGUUAAAAUACUAUCUAUUUUAUAAGUGAAAUCACCUUUUUAUCAUCACAAAUAUCUCCAUCCAAAAGUCCCAACUAUUUAAGAGCGAUAAAAAACUCAAUUCACCUCGUUAAUGUCACACUCCGGGACCCAGCGGAAGCCCACUCAGCACGUGCACAGACCCCCCAUGUAUACCAAACAACCACGAUGCACACAAGGCGUCUACUAAAAACUAGAAAUGAACAAGAUAAAGUCCUAAUAAGGCUAUCAGAGCGAGUAUAUAAAAUCACUAAUAUUCUAGUACAAAGAGAUCCACAAAUAUACAAAGUGUAACAACUAAAUCCAAGAGACUAACAAUAUCUCUAAAAUCAAAUACAUAAUACAUUUUUCUACAAGAUACAAAAAAGAAAGAUGAUAACGGGUCCAUCUAAAUAACUCCGUAGGAGCUCUAGCUAGUCGCUAACCCUUUGCCACGAUCCCCAGCCUCUCCCGCCGCGGAAGGCUCUGAAAUAAAAACCAACAACAAAUGAGGAUGAGAACUAUUAAACAAUAGUUCCGAGUAAGUAAGCUGCAAAGAAUGACGAAAUACACUACUAGGUCAACUGAGACAUGCUAUAAAGAGGUAAAUAAAUAGCAUAUAUAAAAGGUAA
rnacentral:lncRNA from 1 species